rnacentral:rRNA from 1 species
GACGAACGCUGGCGGCGUGCCUAAUACAUGCAAGUCGAGCGGACCGGAUUGGGGCUUGCCUUGAUUCGGUCAGCGGCGGACGGGUGAGUAACACGUGGGCAACCUGCCCGCAAGACCGGGAUAACUCCGGGAAACCGGAGCUAAUACCGGAUAACACCGAAGACCGCAUGGUCUUCGGUUGAAAGGCGGCCUUUGGGCUGUCACUUGCGGAUGGGCCCGCGGCGCAUUAGCUAGUUGGUGAGGUAACGGCUCACCAAGGCGACGUUGCGUAGCCGGCCUGAGAGGGUGACCGGCCACACUGGGACUGGGACACGGCCCAGACUCCUACGGGAGGCAGCAGUAGGGAAUCUUCCGCAAAGGGCGAAAGCCUGACGGAGCGACGCCGCGUGAGCGAAGAAGGCCUUCGGGUCGUAAAGCUCGGUUGGGAGGGACGAAGGAGCGUCGUUCGAAGAGGGCGGCGCGGUGACGGUACCUCACGAGAAAGCCCCGGCUAACUACGUG